ACGGAAAAAUUACGAGAAAACAACGAAUAGACGGAUCGCGUGUAAACACAAAUCACGUAUAUGUUUUUGAUAAACAGGGGGACAGUGCUAACGUAUAGAAAUCACUUGUCUUUUAAAUGAAGACCUGUAUGAAUGGUGGAACGAGGGCUUAACUGUCUCCCCUUUCAAGUCAAUGAAAUUGAUCUGCCCGUGCAGAAGCGGACAUACAAAUACAAGACGAGAAGACCCUUUGGAGCUUAAGAUACAGAAUCAACUAUGUCAAGAACCCUAAAAUAAAGUUAAACUAAAUAGCAACUGAUCCCUAUCUUCGGUUGGGGCGACUGCGGGAGAAAAUAAAGCUCCCAUGCGGACUGGGGCCACCCCUAAAGCUAAGAGAGACAUCUCUAAGUCACAGAACAUCUGACCACAAAGAUCCGGCCAAUGGCCGACCAACGGACCAAGUUACCCUAGGGAUAACAGCGCAAUCCCCUUCCAGAGUCCAUAUCGACAAGGGGGUUUACGACCUCGAUGUUGGAUCAGGACAUCCUAAUGGUGCAGCCGCUAUUAAGGGUUCGUUUGUUCAACGAUUAAAGUCCUACGUGAUCUGAGUUCAAACCAGA
rnacentral:rRNA from 1 species